rnacentral:rRNA from 1 species
UAGGGAAUCUUCCACAAUGGACGAAAGUCUGAUGGAGCAACGCCGCGUGAGUGAAGAAGGUUUUCGGAUCGUAAAGCUCUGUUGUUAGAGAAGAAUGUAGGUAAGAGUAACUGUUUACCUAGUGACGGUAUCUAACCAGAAAGCCACGGCUAACUACGUGCCAGCAGCCGCGGUAAUACGUAGGUGGCAAGCGUUAUCCGGAUUUAUUGGGCGUAAAGCGAACGCAGGCGGUUUUUUAAGUCUGAUGUGAAAGCCUUCGGCUCAACCGAAGAAAUGCAUUGGAAACUGGAUAACUUGAGUGCAGAAGAGGAGAGUGGAACACCAUGUGUAGCGGUGAAAUGCGUAGAUAUAUGGUAGAACACCAGUGGCGAAAGCGGCUCUCUGGUCUGUAACUGACGCUGAGGUUCGAAAGCAUGGGUAGCAAACAGG